UACAGAGGUGGCAAGCGUUGUUCGGAAUUACUGGGCGUAAAGGGCGCGUAGGCGGCCUUCUAAGUCAGACGUGAAAUCCCCCGGCUUAACCUGGGAACUGCGUCUGAUACUGGGAGGCUAGAGUGCGGGAGAGGGAUGCGGAAUUCCAGGUGUAGCGGUGAAAUGCGUAGAUAUCUGGAGGAACACCGGUGGCGAAGGCGGCAUCCUGGACCAACAUUGACGCUGAGGAGCGAAAGCCAGGGGAGCAAACGGG
rnacentral:rRNA from 1 species